AUGUUCAUCAGAAAGGGAAUCAAAAGAGUUUUCAUAAAAGCGCCAUUCUCAUAUCAGAAAUCAUAUACACUUCCAGAGAGAGAUAUUUUGAUCAGAAACCAAAAUGUCCGAAUCAGAUGUAGCUGGCACAAGAUUUUGCUUCCAACUCAGCAUCAAAGAUCGAGAUUAAAAAAGAAAAGGAUCAGAAACAAAGAAGUAGCUGACAUAAGUUAUGUGCUUCCAGCACAAAUCAAACAUCAGAAUCCAAGAUUAGAAGUCCAGAAUCAAGGAUCAGAUCAAAAAGUAUGA